rnacentral:rRNA from 1 species
GCAAGCGUUAAUCGGAAUUACUGGGCGUAAAGCGUGCGUAGGCGGCUUGGUAAGCCGGUUGUGAAAGCCCCGGGCUCAACCUGGGAAUGGCAUCCGGAACUGUCAGGCUAGAGUGCAGGAGAGGAAGGUAGAAUUCCCGGUGUAGCGGUGAAAUGCGUAGAGAUCGGGAGGAAUACCAGUGGCGAAGGCGGCCUUCUGGACUGACACUGACGCUGAGGUACGAAAGCGUGGGUAGCAAACAGGAUUAGAUACCCUGGUAGUCCACGCCGUAAACGAUGUCGACUAGCCGUUGGGGUCCUUGAGACCUUUGUGGCGCAGUUAACGCACUAAGUCGACCGCCUGGGGAGUACGGCCGCAAGGUUAAAACUCAAAUGAAUUGACGGGGGCCCGCACAAGCGGUGGAGCAUGUGGUUUAAUUCGAUGCAACGCGAAGAACCUUACCUACCCUUGACAUCGUGCGAACUUGGUAGAGAUACCUUGGUGCCUUCGGGAGCGCACAGACAGGUGCUGCAUGGCUGUCGUCAGCUCGUGUUGUGAAAUGUUGGGUUAAGUCCCGUAACGAGCGCAACCCUUAUCCUUAUUUGCCAGCGAUCCGGUCGGGAACUCUAAGGAGACUGCCGGUGACAAACCGGAGGAAGGUGGGGACGACGUCAAGUCAUCAUGGCCCUUACGGGUAGGGCUACACACGUGCUACAAUGGCCGAUACAAUGGGUCGCAAAGCGGCGACGUGGCGCUAAUCCCAUAAAGUCGGUCUCAGUCCGGAUCGGAGUCUGCAACUCGACUCCGUGAAGUCGGAAUCGCUAGUAAUCGUGCAUCAGAAUGGCACGGUGAAUACGUUCCCGGGCCUUGUACACACCGCCCGUCACACCAUGGGAGUGGACUGCACCAGAAGUGGUUAGCCUAACUUCGGAGGGCGAUCA